UUGACUCUACCUUCUCUCUAGAAAACUUUUUUUUUCACCUCCUUUGUGAGGGUUUUCCACUUCCUCUGUGGGAAUUUUCCACUUUCUUGUGAGGGUUUCUUAGGGAGGAGGAAUGGAUCUUUUUCGUCUCCUCCUCCCCUCUUUCUUCUCUACUUCCUUAAUUUGUUUUCUAUCAAGUUUUUUGCCCUUUUUUUAGUUCUUCCCGACCAGACCAGAAGCUCUAGCCAUCUCCAUUCCCUUUGCUCAGCAUCCGUCGCUCCAUCACCGUCCUCCAUGCUCACUGCUGCGCUGCUCGUCCUCUUCUCGGAGCUGUUGGUGUUUUUAGAUCUAGUUUUUUAAAAAUUAGAUCUACCCUAUUCAGCUAGCUUCUUCCGCCCAGCGCCCAUCCACUGUGCUCGCCAUCAUCCCUGCUCCUUGUCACCGUCCUCCUCACAUCAUUCCGUCCAGUGAGCUCCAUCUUCCAUGCCCCGGUUCCAGGAGGGGGCUCAGAUAGGUUCGCCUUAAUCUAUGCUCCUUUUGCUUCUGUAACCGCUUUGUGCGGCCCAUUGAGAGGAUCGUGUCACUUGUUUGACCCAUUUCCUAACAUUUGUAAUUAUUUCUGCACUGAUUUAAUUUGUUUUGAGUCUGUUGUUGGGAGCC